UGUAAUGCCUUUCUACUUAGUUCUUCUGAGU
rnacentral:piRNA from 1 species